rnacentral:rRNA from 1 species
GUUGGCCCCUUACCGGGGUUGCGGACAGUGUCUGGUGGGUAGUUUGACUGGGGCGGUCUCCUCCUAAAGCGUAACGGAGGAGCACGAAGGUUAGCUAAUCCUGGUCGGACAUCAGGAGGUUAGUGCAAUGGCAUAAGCUAGCUUGACUGCGAGCGUGACGGCGCGAGCAGGUGCGAAAGCAGGUCAUAGUGAUCCGGUGGUUCUGAAUGGAAGGGCCAUCGCUCAACGGAUAAAAGGUACUCCGGGGAUAACAGGCUGAUACCGCCCAAGAGUUCAUAUCGACGGCGGUGUUUGGCACCUCGAUGUCGGCUCAUCACAUCCUGGGGCUGAAGUAGGUCCCAAGGGUAUGGCUGUUCGCCAUUUAAAGUGGUACGCGAGCUGGGUUUAGAACGUCGUGAGACAGUUCGGUCCCUAUCUGCCGUGGGCGCUGGAGAAUUGAGGGGGGCUGCUCCUAGUACGAGAGGACCGGAGUGGACGCAUCACUGGUGUUCGGGUUGUCAUGCCAAUGGCACUGCCCGGUAGCUAAAUGCGGAAGAGAUAAGUGCUGAAAGCAUCUAAGCACGAAACUUGCCCCGAGAUGAGUUCUCCCUGAGACUUUAAGUCUCCUGAAGGAACGUUGAAGACGACGACGUUGAUAGGCCGGGUGUGUAAGCGCAGCGAUGCGUUGAGCUAACCGGUACUAAUGAACCGUGAGGCUUAACCUU